CACGUAGGGUCCGAGCGUUGUCCGGAAUUACUGGGCGUAAAGCGUGCGCAGGCGGUUGGGUCAGUCGCUGGUGAAAGCCCCACGCUCAACGUGGGAAUGGCCAACGAGACGGCCCGACUGGAGGCAGGGAGAGGCCGGUGGAAUUCCAGGUGUAGCGGUGAAAUGCGUAGAUAUCUGGAGGAACACCGGUGGCGAAGGCGGCAUCCUGGACCAAUAUUGACGCUGAGGAGCGAAAGCCAGGGGAGCAAACGGG
rnacentral:rRNA from 1 species